GUGGAGGCCGGUGAAGCGCUUCGGGGAGCUCCAUUUCCCUGUGGAUCAUCCCCGCGGAGCACGAUAAUACCUCCCUAAACAUUGGAACAUGGACAAAGUGAACAAAAUGGCAGAAAAUAAGGAAAUUCCCUAGGAAGCACAAAAAUGGUGCUGUGAGCGCCGGCAAUGUCAGUAUAUGUGAAACCUCAUGUUUAAGACAGAAAAGGUUCUUUGAAGGGUGAACCAUUUCAGGAUCUAUAUUCAAUUAGAAGGUGCAAAAGAAAAGAAAUUGGGCCCUAUAAUUCAGCAGUUGCUGGGCAGUUGUCCUGACUGCCUUCCACUAGUGUAAAUUGCCAGAAGGAUCUGAGGAGCCUGCAGUGAUUUACAGAUCAUUGUUCACAGGCUCAGGAUACGCGACCUUUGCAAACUAACAAAGCGAAGUGAACAGACAACAUGAUGGCAGGAGAAAUUUAGUAUUGACAAAUGUGUGGUGAAGCACUUGGAAAAGCAUCAUUUGAACCACCUGAAUUAACUGUAACCGCUCAGGAAGAGGACCCAGCUGACCCCUAUUGGGGGACAAUAAAACACCCAGUGGUAGGGAGAGAGGCAAGCAGAAACACUGUAUGGAAAGGGAACAAUGUACUGUGGUUCUUUUAAUAAAGCUGUUUGAUAAUCACU